rnacentral:rRNA from 1 species
UACGUAGGGGGCAAGCGUUGUCCGGAAUCAUUGGGCGUAAAGCGCGUGUAGGCGGCCCGAUAAGUCCGCUGUGAAAGUCCAGGGCUCAACCCUGGGAUGCCGGUGGAUACUGGCGGGCUGGAGUAUGGCAGAGGGGGGUGGAAUUCCGCGUGUAGCAGUGAAAUGCGUAGAGAUGCGGAGGAACACCGAUGGCGAAGGCAGCCCCCUGGGCCAAUACUGACGCUCAGGCACGAAAGCGUGGGGAGCAAACAGG